rnacentral:rRNA from 1 species
GACGAACGCUGGCGGCGUGCUUAACACAUGCAAGUCGAACGAAGAGCGACGGAAGCUUGCUUCUAUCAAUCUUAGUGGCGCACGGGUGAGUAACGCGUAAUCAACCUGCCCUUCAGAGGGGGACAACAGUUGGAAACGACUGCUAAUACCGCAUACGAUCUAACCUCGGCAUCGAGGAUAGAUGAAAGGUGGCCUCUACAUGUAAGCUAUCACUGAAGGAGGGGAUUGCGUCUGAUUAGCUAGUUGGAGGGGUAACGGCCCACCAAGGCGAUGAUCAGUAGCCGGUCUGAGAGGAUGAGCGGCCACAGUGGGACUGAGACACGGCCCAGACUCCUACGGGAGGCAGCAGUGGGGAAUCUUCCGCAAUGGACGAAAGUCUGACGGAGCAACGCCGCGUGAGUGAUGACGGCCUUCGGGUUGUAAAGCUCUGUUAAUCGGGACGAAAGGCCUUCUUGCGAAUAGUGAGAAGGAUUGACGGUACCGGAAUAGAAAGCCACGGCUAACUACGUG